rnacentral:rRNA from 1 species
AGUGAACGCUGGCGGUAGGCCUAACACAUGCAAGUCGAACGGCAGCACAGUAAGAGCUUGCUCUUACGGGUGGCGAGUGGCGGACGGGUGAGGAAUACAUCGGAAUCUACUUUUUCGUGGGGGAUAACGUAGGGAAACUUACGCUAAUACCGCAUACGACCUACGGGUGAAAGCAGGGGAUCUUCGGACCUUGCGCGAUUGAAUGAGCCGAUGUCGGAUUAGCUAGUUGGCGGGGUAAAGGCCCACCAAGGCGACGAUCCGUAGCUGGUCUGAGAGGAUGAACAGCCACACGGGAACUGAGACACGGUCCAGACUCCUACGGGAGGCAGCAGUGGGGAAUAUUGGACAAUGGGCGCAAGCCUGAUCCAGCCAUACCGCGUGGGUGAAGAAGGCCUUCGGGUUGUAAAGCCCUUUUGUUGGGAAAGAAAAGCAGCAGGUUAAUACCCCGCUGUUCUGACGGUACCCAAAGAAUAAGCACCGGCUAACUUCGUG